UGGGUUUGUCUGAUUAGAAACUUGGGAUUUGGCUUCAGCCCAGAGCAGCGGGGCUCAGGAUUUGGCUUUCUGCCCUGGGUCUCAGUGAGUCUAACGCUGGCUCUGCUCUCUGAUUUAUUUUGGCGGACCCCCUGAAACCUGCUCACGGCCCCCUCAGGGGGCCCUGGACCC